rnacentral:misc_RNA from 1 species
AUUCACGCACUGAUCAGCUGAGAAAAGAUUUACCGGUAGACUCCAAGCAAAGUCAAACUAUUACCAAUUUGACAGCCAUUUACUUGUAAAACAGAAACAGAAUUAAACUUCGUGUUUACAUCUUGCAGAGGAUAUAUAAGAAAUAUUCACCAUGGUUCGAGUUUUGUGUCAGAAUUCGGUGGGAGGAGGGUGUUGUCGCGGUCAGAUGGAGGAACUGACCCCCGUGGAGUUUAUGGAGGGAAAAUCGUGCAGUGUCAUUGAUGCUGCGAUGGCUAGCCGUGCUGCAGAGGCCUUGAAUGCCCACAGCGAGGAUUCUAAUUCUAAUUUUAGCUCCGACUUCAAUAAUUCCGGAAACUCCGAUUCCUUCAGCGAUAGCGACAUGGAAACCAAGAUCUCUCUGAGCAUCGAUGUGGCGGAUCCAACUUCUGACAAAAGACAGGUAAAAUCCAAUGGACCGUUUACAAUCGAGGUCUUUAACUGUCCAUGUAAAUGACCAACUAUGGUUGUUGGGGUUUUCUUUUCUUAAAACGGCAAUUAUGUAAUUAUUAUUUUUAAAUGAAAUAUAUUGGAUAAAGGGAAAUAAGAAAUAUUACUAUAAAAUUACUUUUAUUUCUUUUAAAGAAUGGUGACAUGAAGCGCCAGCGCAGAAGAGAAAGAAACAAGGUGUCAGCCCAGGCCUACAGACAGAGAAGGCGCGCCCAGACCAGCACUCAGAACCAGGUAAUUAUAUACUGGUAAUAUCAAUCAAAGGAGCUAAAACAAUGCAUAUGUAACAGGUGUUCUAGUCUGAUUAGCAAUUAAUACACCAAACUUUCGUAAGGCAUUUAUCAAUGAAUAAGUUGGGGCGCUUUGUAUUCCAAUACAUGGCGAUUUGCACGUAGCAUUUAAACCUUUCAAGAGCUCUCAAAUUGCACAGUAUCAUAACUAAGAUUAUUCUGCUAUGCAUCAGUUAAAGGAUUUGUCCGAGUUUUUGAUUUAGAAACUCGUUUUAUUUUAUAGAAAAUAUUGGCGUUUGUCAUAUUUGAUAAGAUGAUUUUUUUAAAUUUAAAUAAUCAUGACUUUCUUAUAUACUGAAAUCUUUGUAAUACCGAUAAUGUCCGCAAUUUGAAUAUCCUGAAUCAAAAGUUAUUUAAAUAUUUUUUUUAUACCGAUUCAAAAUUGAAAACAUCUUUCUAAGUUAAAUUUGUUUAAGCUAUGUAUCAGAGUUUGCAUAAAUUCAUAAUCAUGCAAUCCAUAUUUUCACAGAUGCUCGUCGAUUUAGAAAAGCGUCAUGAAGAAUUGUUGGCAACGGUACGCAAUCUUGAGGAGCAAAAGUCUAUUAUUGAAGGCUUGAUUAAGAAGAAGGCGAAGAUGCCUUGGCCUUGGGGCCAUCCCACAACACAUCCCUAUGCCCCCGUCACAGAGGGUUCAUGUGGAGCCGCUUCAAGCAUGGACGCCCCAAUGUCCAUGAAUACGAGCGCCAUAGUGGCAUCGUGAUGCACAGUAAACCAAAGAGGAGUUUACUGCCGCUCACUUUGUACUAAUAUGUUUGCGCAAGCGCAAGGGAGACUUACGUACGUCAUAUCCCGUGAAUCUAGCUGUGUUGGCCCGGGGACUUCGGAUGACAAGGUCUCAAUAUAUGGGUUUAAGCAAAGUUUCCUAAUGAUGGCGGCUUUUGCUGCACACUAGAUUGUAUGACAUAUUGUCUCAUGUUUUAAUCUGAGUGACAGGACUGAUACCGAUAUUCUGCCAGAGAACUGUCAAAUAUGGACAUCCAAGUUCCCGAAAAAUUGAUAUGUUUGAUCAGACAUUCUGACUGAUAAUGUGUUUUCAAUGUAACACAAUACUGCCAUGUUGUUUUCAAUCUCUUGAUAUUUGUGAGCGGCAGAGGAAAUAUAGCAUUGUUUGACUUACAUCAUUACACAAUUAGUGAUUUGAUUAAAUAUUGUAUACCAUUAC